rnacentral:rRNA from 1 species
ACGGACAUACCAUGCUGAAUAUACCGGUUCUCGUUAGAUCACCGAAGUCAAGCAUCAUUGGGCGCGGUCAGUACUUGGGUGGGUGACCAUCUGGGAACACCGCGUGCCGUUA